UGGUAAUGCCGGAUGCUCCGGUUGGAUGCAUGUCCUUCCGGGAAAGGUUCCAUCGGUAUGGGAUGGGGUCGCGUCCUAUCAGCUUGAUGGCGGGGUAACGGCCCACCAUGGCUUCGACGGGUAGCCGGCCUGAGAGGGCGACCGGCCACAUUGGGACUGAGAUACGGCCCAGACUCCUACGGGAGGCAGCAGUGGGGAAUAUUGCACAAUGGGCGCAAGCCUGAUGCAGCGACGCCGCGUGCGGGAUGGAGGCCUUCGGGUUGUAAACCGCUUUUGAUCGGGAGCAAGCCCUUCGGGGUGAGUGUACCUUUCGAAUAAGCACCGGCUAACUACGUGCCAGCAGCCGCGGUAAUACGUAGGGUGCAAGCGUUAUCCGGAAUUAUUGGGCGUAAAGGGCUCGUAGGCGGUUCGUCGCGUCCGGUGUGAAAGCCCAUCGCUUAACGGUGGGUCUGCGCCGGGUACGGGCGGGCUGGAGUGCGGUAGGGGAGACUGGAAUUCCCGGUGUAACGGUGGAAUGUGUAGAUAUC
rnacentral:rRNA from 1 species